GAUGAACGCUGGCGGCGUGCCUAAUACAUGCAAGUCGAGCGAAAAGACGAGGAGCUUGCUCCUCUGACGUUAGCGGCGGACGGGUGAGUAACACGUGGAUAACCUACCUAUAAGACUGGGAUCACCUCGGGAAACCGGCGCUAAUACCGGAUAAUAUAUUGAACCGCAUGGUUCAAUAGUGAAAGACGGCUUUGCUGUCUCUUCUAGAUGGAUCCGCGCCGCAUUAGCUAGUUGGUAAGGUAACGGCUUAUCAAGGCGACGAUGCGUAGCCGACCGGAGAGGGUGAUCGGCCACACUGGAACGGAGACACGGUCCAGACUCCUACGGGAGGCAGCAGUAGGGAAUCUUCCGCAAAGGGCGAAAGCCUUACAGAGCAACGCCGCGUGAGUGAUGAAGGUCUUCGGAUCGUAAUACUCUGUUAUUAGGGAAGAACAAAUGUGUAAGUAGCUAUGCACGUCUUGACGGUACCUAAUCAGAAAGCCACGGCUAACUACGUG
rnacentral:rRNA from 1 species